rnacentral:rRNA from 1 species
GUUCUCGUUGAUGAUCGGUGCUUGCACCGAGAUUCAACAUGGAACGAGUGGCGGACGGGUGAGUAACACGUGGGUAACCUGCCCUUAAGUGGGGGAUAACAUUUGGAAACAGAUGCUAAUACCGCAUAGAUCCAAGAACCGCAUGGUUCUUGGCUGAAAGAUGGCGUAAGCUAUCGCUUUUGGAUGGACCCGCGGCGUAUUAGCUAGUUGGUGAGGUAAUGGCUCACCAAGGCGAUGAUACGUAGCCGAACUGAGAGGUUGAUCGGCCACAUUGGGACUGAGACACGGCCCAAACUCCUACGGGAGGCAGCAGUAGGGAAUCUUCCACAAUGGACGCAAGUCUGAUGGAGCAACGCCGCGUGAGUGAAGAAGGCUUUCGGGUCGUAAAACUCUGUUGUUGGAGAAGAAUGGUCGGCAGAGUAACUGUUGUCGGCGUGACGGUAUCCAACCAGAAAGCCACGGCUAACUACGUGCCAGCAGCCGCGGUAAUACGUAGGUGGCAAGCGUUAUCCGGAUUUAUUGGGCGUAAAGCGAGCGCAGGCGGUUUUUUAAGUCUGAUGUGAAAGCCCUCGGCUUAACCGAGGAAGCGCAUCGGAAACUGGGAAACUUGAGUGCAGAAGAGGACAGUGGAACUCCAUGUGUAGCGGUGAAAUGCGUAGAUAUAUGGAAGAACACCAGUGGCGAAGGCGGCUGUCUGGUCUGUAACUGACGCUGAGGCUCGAAAGCAUGGGUAGCGAACAGGAUUAGAUACCCUGGUAGUCCAUGCCGUAAACGAUGAAUGCUAGGUGUUGGAGGNGUUCCGCCCUUCAGUGCCGCAGCUAACGCAUUAAGCAUUCCGCCUGGGGAGUACGACCGCAAGGUUGAAACUCCAAGGAAUUGACGGGGGCC